rnacentral:rRNA from 1 species
AGGGGUAAGGCUGGCGGCGUGCCUAAUACAUGCAAGUAGAACGCUGAAGCUUGGUGCUUGCACCGAGCGGAUGAGUUGCGAACGGGUGAGUAACGCGUAGGUAACCUGCCUCUUAGCGGGGGAUAACUAUUGGAAACGAUAGCUAAUACCGCAUAAAAGUCGAUAUCGCAUGAUAUUGAUUUGAAAGGUGCAAUUGCAUCACUAAGAGAUGGACCUGCGUUGUAUUAGCUAGUUGGUGGGGUAAUGGCCUACCAAGGCGGCGACGGGUAGCCGGCCUGAGAGGGUGGACGGCCACAUUGGGACUGAGAUACGGCCCAGACUCCUACGGGAGGCAGCAGUGGGGAAUAUUGCACAAUGGGCGCAAGCCUGAUGCAGCGACGCCGCGUGGGGGAUGACGGCCUUCGGGUUGUAAACUCCUUUCGCUAGGGACGAAGCUUUUGUGACGGUACCUAGAUAAGAAGCACCGGCUAACUACGUGCCAGCAGCCGCGGUAAUACGUAGGGUGCGAGCGUUGUCCGGAAUUACUGGGCGUAAAGGGCUCGUAGGUGGUUUGUCGCGUCGUCUGUGAAAUUCCGGGGCUUAACUCCGGGCGUGCAGGCGAUACGGGCAUAACUUGAGUACUGUAGGGGUAACUGGAAUUCCUGGUGUAGCGGUGAAAUGCGCAGAUAUCAGGAGGAACACCGAUGGCGAAGGCAGGUUACUGGGCAGUUACUGACGCUGAGGAGCGAAAGCAUGGGUAGCGAACAGGAUUAGAUACCCUGGUAGUCCAUGCCGUAAACGGUGGGCGCUAGGUGUGAGGGUCUUUUCACGACUUUCGUGCCGUAGCUAACGUAUUAAGCGCCCCGCCUGGGGAGUACGGCCGCAAGGCUAAAACUCAAUGAAUUGACGGAAGGGC